UACGUAGGGCGCAAGCGUUGUCCGGAAUUAUUGGGCGUAAAGAGCUCGUAGGCGGCUUGUCACGUCGAUUGUGAAAGCCCCGAGGCUUAACCUCGGGUCUGCAGUCGAUACGGGCUAGCUAGAGUGUGGUAGGGGAGAUCGGAAUUCCUGGUGUAGCGGUGAAAUGCGCAGAUAUCAGGAGGAACACCGGUGGCGAAGGCGGUUCUCUGGGCAUGUCCUGACGCUGAGGAGCGAAAGUGUGGGGAGCGAACAGG
rnacentral:rRNA from 1 species